CGGGAGGCAGCAGUUAGGAAUCUUCCACAAUGGGCGAAAGCCUGAUGGAGCGACACUGCGUGAAGGAUGAAGGUUUUAGGAUCGUAAACUUCUAAAAGAGGGACGAAUAAUGACGGUACCUCUUGAAAAGCACCGGCUAACUCCGUGCCAGCAGCCGCGGUAAUACGGAGGGUGCAAGCGUUAUCCGGAAUCACUGGGCGUAAAGGGCACGUAGGCGGUCUUCUAAGUCCGAUGUUAAAGCGUGGGGCUCAACCCCAUCACGGCGUUGGAUACUGGUAGGCUUGACGACUGGAGAGGUGAGUAGAAUUACCAGUGUAGCGGUGGAAUGCGUAGAUACUGGUAGGAAUACCCAUUGCGAAGGCAGCUCACUGGACAGUACGUGACGCUGAGGUGCGAAAGUGUGGGGAGCAAACCGGAUUAGAUACCCGGGUAGUCCACACCCUAAAC
rnacentral:rRNA from 1 species